rnacentral:rRNA from 1 species
CCUACGGGACGCAGCAGUGGGGAAUAUUGCACAAUGGGGGAAACCCUGAUGCAGCGACGCCGCGUGAGUGAAGAAGUAUUUCGGUAUGUAAAGCUCUAUCAGCAGGAACGAGACAAGACGGUACCCCUUGAAUAAGCCACGGCUAACUACGUGCCAGCAGCCGCGGUAAUACGUAGGUGGCAAGCGUUGUCCGGAUUUACUGGGUGUAAAGGGCGUGCAGCCGGAGAGACAAGUCAGAUGUGAAAUCCACGGGCUCAACCCGUGAACUGCAUUUGAAACUGUUUCCCUUGAG